GACGAACCGUCCAAACGUUAUUCGGAAUCACUGGGCUUAAAGGGUGCGUAGGCGGCGCGGAAAGUUGGGUGUGAAAUCCCUCGGCUCAACCGAGGAACGUCGAUCGAUACUGCUGUUCUUGAGGAUUGCAGAGGAGACUGGAAUUCCCGGUGUAGCGGUGAAAUGUGUAGAGAUGCGGAGGAACACCGAUGGCGAAGGCAGCCCCCUGGGCUAACACUGACGCUCAGGCACGAAAGCGUGGGGAGCAAACAGG
rnacentral:rRNA from 1 species